GUCAGGAUGGCCGAGUGGUCUAAGGCGCCAGACUCAAGGCAUUGCUUUCCCUGUGCUGGGAAUUCUGGUCUCCGAAUGGAGGCGUGGGUUCAAAUCCCACUUCUGACA
rnacentral:tRNA from 1 species